UAUAUUUGGGAUUUGUAAUUCUUUGUCCUCCAAGAGUUUGGAGAAGCUUGAGUUAAAUGAACAUUUUGUUUUCAUAAAUAUCCAAUGCAGUGAGGGGAAAAUACAAGCUGUUCUGGAGCGGUUGAAAGAAAGCAGAGAAUGUGGAGGAAGAGAAAGCGAAAAAGGAGCAGCUGCUGACAUUCAGAAACUGAUGUGGGUGGCACCGACAGCUGGAUCAUGUUAUUCUUUUCUCGAACAUUAACAGUCUCACAGAGUACCAACCUCAAACAAGGUUACUCUGAUAUCAUGGGUAGAAUGAGACAAUAUGGAGCAACUACAUAAUUUUUUCUAAGCCAAUAUAAAAGCAAAGUCACUGUGCCACUCACAAAAUACCAAGCACUCUCUUUCGGCUAAAAUGAAUGAUGGCUACUUCUUUACCAGUUAGAGCUUUAGCCUUACUCUAGUCUCCCCUCUUUAUAAAUAAGAUCUAUUGAGAAUUGACCCUGCUUUCUGACGGCCAAUUUAGAGAAAAGCUCACCUUUCUUAAACCCUUCCCCAAGUCACCCAACUAAAGAUCAAAUCUUGUAACAGGUUCCCACUAACAUUCUGUCACUGAGACAUCUCAUAUCUCCCCAUGGUGUCUGUUCUUCCUUGUUACAAUGAUCAAUAAAUCCAACAUGUUUUACCA